GACUGGUUUCAGGCUCCCAUAUGGCUCAUGGGGUGCUCUGCUGGGAGUGAGGUGCGGUCUGGAAAUCUCUCUUCAAAAUGACUCCUCCUUGACUAUGUGAACAGAAAUUAACACAACAUUGUAAAUCAACUACAAUUAAAAAAAAAAAGAUUCCUCCUUGGGAAUUAAUU